rnacentral:rRNA from 1 species
ACCUGACAGCCCUGUACAUUCGCUGUUCGCCUGGGAACUACGAGCGUAAGCUUAAAACCCAAAGGACUUGACGGUGCUUUACAUCCCCCUAGAGGAGCCUGUCCUAGAACCGAUAAUCCCCGUUCAACCUCACCUUUUCUUGCUUAUCCCGCCUAUAUACCGCCGUCUUCAGCUUACCCUGUAAAGGACCCACAGUAAGCGAAAUUGGUACAGCCCCAAACGACAGGUCGAGGUGUAGCGUAUGAAAAGGGAAGAGAUGGGCUACAUUCAGUGAAACACUGAAUACGGACAAUUAAUUGAAACAUUAACUUGAAGGAGGAUUUAGUAGUAAGCAGGG